GGUAAAUAUGGCGACUGUCGAUCGGCGCAGGAAUAUACCAGUUGACGUAAAACAGUUAAAUUUUCGACAUUAGUGAGGGUUGUAAAGAAAUUUCGUAAAAUAAAAACAUAAGGACAUUAUAUAAGUGAAAAAAUGACUACAAAAAUUUUGCUAUCAUAAUAGUUGUUAUUUCGAAAUGUGAGAAAUAGUGCAAAAGUGCACGUUCUUUGUGCGCAAUAGUUUGCUUGUUUUGUAGCUUUGCGGUCGGUGAACCAAAUUUUCUCUAAAGCUAUGGACUCUGGAUAAUCUGCUUGAUAGAGGCUCGAAGAGUGCUUAAAGACAUUGUAAGCGUGGAUCGGAAUCCAUUUUACAGACAAAUUUACAACAAAACCCCUCAUAAAUUAGAGCUCCAAACAUGCUCAAGAGAGUUUCAGCCAUAAUCAGCGAUACAGUCAUUCCUCAUACAUAAAAGAAGUAUGUGCAUUUAUUGAAUACUGGUGCAACUGCUCUCCAUGGCCGAAGUGACUGGAUGUCAUGUUUAAAAAACCAGGUCGGAUUCAUCUUGACUCACAGAAUUAGAAAACAAAGAGACAAUAUUGCCGUUGAAAGGUUGGCUAAACUUGGAUUGUUCACAUCUUUCUACGAAACUUUGAUCAUGGGAAACUUUCCUAGGUGAAGAAAUAAUUGAUAUCAAGAAGAAUUGGAGUGAAGGCGGAGAACUGAUAUACCACUUGAUAGGUGAUACUUGGGACAAGAACAUUAUCCCCACAUACCGCACCUCCCAAAUCAAAACCAUUUCAUUGCAUCUCUUCAACGUUAUAGCUGUUUUAGAUAGCCUAAGGGUGAUUCCAAGCACUUCAUUGGAGGUAGAUGAAAUGGAUGAAAUGGGCCAGAUGUCUGCAAUCAACUAUAUUCCACCUAAUGUGAUAAGGCUUUGCUCUAAUGGCCACAUCGAUAAUUCAAAACCUGGAACAAAUGCAUGACAUUUUUGAACACAAAGCGUUUGAAACCUAGAUACAGUGAAUUCCUAGUAUUAAUACAAAGGAAGUCAUAAAAUCUUUCAAAUUUUUAUUUGCUUUCUUGAAAAGAAAGCUAAAUCAAAUUCUAAUCACACAUGACUG